UCUUCUAGCUGCAAUGGACGGAUAGCUUGCAGCCGCAGCUCUUCACCAUUUCCUUCUGCAAAGCUCACAAAAAUCACUACCAAACCUCCAUAGAUUCAACCAAAACUUCACAUACGUUUAGCUCAUCACUUGGACAAUCACUUGGACAAAGAAGGAGCUGCACACUCACGAUUUUUCUUGGGACUUUUGAACACCAGAAUCUGACUUUUUAGCACACAAGUAAGAUUUGAACUCGGAGACGUACUGGAAAAAACCUCCUGAUGAGCUUUUGUUUAGGGUUUCUAUUACUUUUGGCUAUGUCUUGGUUUUUGGGUUGUAUUUUGGAAUCCGAAUGUAACUUUUGGAGCAUGAUGUAUAUUUGGGAUAUAUGAUGGUUGUUGAAUACCCGAUGUGUGGGUUGGAUAAUGGAUGACUUUUAUUAAACUUGAACGCUUCCGCAGUUAUUGUAUCUAAGUUAUUGACUCGUAUUGUGUGGUCCAGUAAUAAACUUGAAUGGAAUUGCUUGAGUCCUGGCGAGAGCUAGGCAGGCGUUUCGCGGAUACCCUUUGGUUCGCCUUAAGGAGAAGUGGGGGCGUCACAAUGUUCACGGAUGAUAUUUUAAUAUUUACCCAUUGUUUAGAGGGCGGUUUGGAUGGUUUGGAGGCAUUUUUGGAAUCUUAUCAAGCUUACUUGGGUCAAAAAAUUAACAUACACAAAAGUUCAUUUAUUAUAUCUACCUGGGCUAAUGAGGAGCAUUGUGAGGUGGUGGUUUCGAAACUACGAUUUUAGUAGCAGCAUAUUCCUCUUACUUAUUUGGGGGCACCAAUAUCAAAGGGCAGAACCACGUGUAUUUUAUUUGAUUCUAUUGUAGCUAGGAUGAGAGACUGUCUAUUCCAUUGGAGUUUGAGGCUGCUUUCAUCAGGGGGCAAACUGAUAUUAUUGCGGCAUGUGCUUACCUUAAUGCCUAUGUAUUUACUGCAAGUGCUAGACCCACCGCGGUCAAUUUUGGUCAAGUUGGACAGGAUAUGUAAUGACUUCUUAUGGGAUAAGGAUGCUCGUUCAAAAGGCAUUCAUUGGAUGUCUUGGGAGAAACCUUGCUAUCAGUAGAAGAAGGUGGUGGGCUGGGUUUUCGUUCCUUUGAAGACAUGUGUUCAGCCUUUGUUUGCAAGUUCUGGUGGUGUUUGUGGAAGAAAUACUCAAUAUGGGCAGAUUUUAUGCACUCCAAGCAUAUUAAGGGCUGCCAUCCUAUUCAAGUUCAAGUCCUCAAGCCUCCCCCUUCGUGAAGAUGCUUGGAGAGCAUUAGAAAUAUUGCGGAAAGCAGCAUUAGAUGGUGUGUGGGUAAAGGUUUUGUAGAUUUUUGGUAUAAUCGGUGGCUUUUCAACUCUCCCUUGCUAGAAUUGAUCCCUAUCAAUGAUCCGCCCCACAUGCUGCUAGUAGAGUUUUUUGGUGAUAGGGGCUGGAAUGUCGAGCACUUGAAGUGUUGGUUAAGCAUCCAUUUGGUUUAACAAAUAUAGGAAGUUAACUUAUAUCCUGAUCAAAAUGAUUGCAUGGUUUGGGUGAGUUCGUCCUCUGAAGAGUUCUCAAUUAAGUUUGCUUGGGAUCAUAUUUGACAGAGUUGGAAUUUUUCAUUGGUGGAUGGAUUUAUUUGAAACAAUAUUGUACCGCUUAAGAUGUCCUUCUUUGCAUGGAAGGCAGUGUGCAAUUUGGUUCUAUUGGAGGUGAAUUUGAAGCGACGUGGAAUACCACUGGUGUCAAGAUGUUCGUGCUGCCUCUCGUAGGAAGAAUCAUUAGUACACCUUUUUGUUACGGGUCCUAGGUAUGAGGUUCUUUUCAAAAGAGGUUUGGAAUUCUAGAGUCCCACUCCUCUUCGGUGUCUACGAUUAUUUUGUCGUGGUUUGGCUCAAAUUCUUUGGUAAUGCAUAACCACAUAAGGGCUGUUGUUCCCGUGGUAGUACUUUGGUUUCUAUGGAAAUCUAGGAACAAAGCACGUUUUGAUGGAGCACGCUUUGAAGCUCAUGGGGUAAUCUCCUUGAUUGACGGUUUUGUGGAACAGCUGGGGUUGGCAAACAAGCUCUCAGUGUGUCUGUUUAAGGGUGACUAUGAGGAUCCAUGGGCUCGGUUGGCUGUCUGAUCAUCAAGGAAAAAGAAGGUUUAUGCUGUUUCUUGAAAGCAGCCACCGCUACACUGUGUGAAGUUGAACAUUGAUGCUAGUGUCUCCCAAAAUCGGGCAUAUGGGGGUGGUUUGCUCCGAGACUCUGGAAGCCGUUUAAUUUUUGUUUUUUACAAGAAAUUUGGGGAAAUGAAUGUCUUGAGGGCAGAAAGCUUAUCAUUGUUGCAUGAUCUUCAAUUGUGUAAAGAAGUAGUCAAAGGACCUCUACUGGUGGUGGUAGAUUUUGAGAGUCUGGUUCGUAUGCUAAAUGUUGGGGGUGCGUCAAAAUGGCCUUUGUGCAAUACACUGAGGAGCAUAAGAGCUUUAAUAAACUCAUUAUUGGCUUCCAUAUCACAUGUUGUAAGAGAGACGAACUCGUCAGUAGAUAAGUUAGUGGGUUUGUGAGUGCUGUCUGAUCCAUAUUGCACUUUGUAUCCUCAGCUCCUGGGAAUAGUUAGGGCUUCGAUAUAUUUAGACAGUAGGGAGGUCUCUUUUCUAUGUUGGCAAUUUGUAAGGGAGUAGUGCUCCUUAUUGUUAGCUCAUUGCAGAGGAUAUCUUUAACUCUUUGUACUAUUUCAUUUAUAUCAAUAAAAUAGGGGGCUGGCAUCCCCACUCCGUGGACGGGAUUUGCCAAAAAAAAAAACAUUUAAAAUUUUAAACAA